GUGCUUGCUUUGGCAGCACAUAUGCUAAAAUUGGAAUGAUAUGAAGAAGAUUAGCAUGGCCCCUGUGCAGGGAUGACUCACAAAUUCGUGAAGCACUCCGUAUUUUU
rnacentral:snRNA from 1 species